UAGGGAAUCUUCCACAAUGGACGCAAGUCUGAUGGAGCAACGCCGCGUGAGUGAAGAAGGUUUUCGGACCGUAAAGCUCUGUUGUUGGUGAAGAAGGAUAGAGGUAGUAACUGGCCUUUAUUUGACGGUAAUCAACCAGAAAGUCACGGCUAACUACGUGCCAGCAGCCGCGGUAAUACGUAGGUGGCAAGCGUUGUCCGGAUUUAUUGGGCGUAAAGCGAGCGCAGGCGGAAGAAUAAGUCUGAUGUGAAAGCCCUCGGCUUAACCGAGGAAUUGCAUCGGAAACUGUUUUCUUGAGUGCAGAAGAGGAGAGUAGAACUCCAUGUGUAGCGGUGGAAUGCGUAGAUAUAUGGAAGAAUACCAGUGGCGAAGGCGGCUCUCUGGUCUGCAACUGACGCUGAGGCUCGAAAAGCAUGGGUAGCGAACAGGAUUAGAUACCCUGGUAGUCCAUGCCGUAAAACGAUGAGUGCUAAGUGUUGGGAGGCUUCCGCCUCUCAGUGCUGCAGCUAACGCAUUAAGCACUCCGCCUGGGGGAGUACGACCGCAAGGUU
rnacentral:rRNA from 1 species